CUAAACGGAUUACCUUUUUCCCUUUGUACAGUCUUGUUAAUGAACAGGUUAACAAAUAACUGUACUUGUCCUGUACAUAUUUCUAUAGUAUUCUAUAGACCCCAAGGUUCUACUUACUUAUAAAGCACACACCUUAAUAAUAAAUGGCACUUUGAUAUAAAAAGUGUACAUGAUCUGCUCAUGGAACCUUAUAUUCAAAAGGAGGUAGG